rnacentral:tRNA from 1 species
AUUUGAAACGGUUUGAAAAAGCCUGAAACCGCUUGAAUACAAUUCACACCGAGUGGGUCACAGGUUCAAUCCCUGUCGCGUCCACCA